UUCCUACAACAUAUCGUUAAUACACCAGGUCCCAUUAUAAAUCUGCAGUUAAGCAUGCUUAGGAUAGAGUAGUAUUGGGAUGGGUGAUUGUCUAGGAAGUGCUAGUGUUUUAAAAGC
rfam:Picea glauca, whole genome shotgun sequence.